CACAUGCCAAUUAUAAAUAAAUCAAUACAGAAAAGUUGUAACGCAUUUGAAAAACUAAUGCGAUGAACCACAAUAACAAAAUCGGAAAUAGAUUUGUAUAGAAAAACUCAUGCCCUUUAAAAAUAAUCAUUUGGGCAUUUACUUGAAUCAAUUUCCUAUAUAAAGUCCAACAUUUUCUCUGAAUCUUCAUACAGAUAUUCGCAGUCUUUGGUAAACGAAUAGCAGAGUCAUAAUGAAUUUCUUGAACAUUUUCGUAUUCGUUGCUGUUAUCCUGGCUGCAUUUACUGCCCAAACUGAAGGCAAGCGUAAAGGUGGCGGCGGUGGUGGUAACCGUGGACAUGCUUGGAGAGCAGGAUCCCAUGUGGCCGGAGCUGCUGUUCAAGGAGUUGCUGCUGAGGCAGUCCGUCAAAUUGGUUAAAUCUCUAUUUGUAGAGAAUAAUGUGACACAAUGCUUACAUUGGAGAGCUUCAAAUAAAUAUUUAUAAAAAAGUAAA